GAAUGCUGACAUAAGUAACGAUAAAGCGGGUGAAAAGCCCGCUCGCCGGAAGACCAAGGGUUCCUGUCCAACGUUAAUCGGGGCAGGGUGAGUCGACCCCUAAGGCGAGGCCGAAAGGCGUAGUCGAUGGGAAACGGGUUAAUAUUCCCGUACUUGGUGUUACUGCGAAGGGGGGACGGAGAAGGCUAUGUUGGCCGGGCGACGGUUGUCCCGGUUUAAGCGUGUAGGUGUGUGUUCCA
rnacentral:rRNA from 2 species